rnacentral:rRNA from 1 species
UAGGGAAUCUUCGGCAAUGGACGAAAGUCUGACCGAGCAACGCCGCGUGAGUGAAGAAGGUUUUCGGAUCGUAAAACUCUGUUGUUAGAGAAGAACAAGGACGUUAGUAACUGAACGUCCCCUGACGGUAUCUAACCAGAAAGCCACGGCUAACUACGUGCCAGCAGCCGCGGUAAUACGUAGGUGGCAAGCGUUGUCCGGAUUUAUUGGGCGUAAAGCGAGCGCAGGCGGUUUCUUAAGUCUGAUGUGAAAGCCCCCGGCUCAACCGAGGAGGGUCAUUGGAAGCUGGGAGCCUUGAGUGCAGAAGAGGAGAGUUGAAUUCCAUGUGUAGCGGUGAAAUGCUUAGAUAUAAGGAGGAACACCAGUGGCGAAGGCGGCUCUCUGGUCUGUAACUGACGCUGAGGCUCGAAAGCGUGGGGAGCAAACAGG